rnacentral:rRNA from 1 species
UAGAGUUUGAUCAUGGCUCAGGACGAACGCUGGCGGCGUGCUUAACACAUGCAAGUCGAACGGUGAAGGGGCCUGCUUUUGUGGGUCCUGGAUGAGUGGCGAACGGGUGAGUAACACGUGAGUAACCUGCCCCCUUCUUCUGGAUAACCGCAUGAAAGUGUGGCUAAUACGGGAUAUUCUGUGCCUGCUGCAUGGUGGGUGUGGGAAAGAUUGCGCCCUUUUUGGGUGUUUUUGGUGGGGGAUGGGCUCGCGGCCUAUCAGCUUGUUGGUGGGGUGAUGGCCUACCAAGGCGGUGACGGGUAGCCGGCCUGAGAGGGUGGACGGUCACACUGGGACUGAGACACGGCCCAGACUCCUACGGGAGGCAGCAGUGGGGAAUAUUGCACAAUGGGCGCAAGCCUGAUGCAGCGACGCCGCGUGAGGGAUGGAGGCCUUCGGGUUGUGAACCUCUUUCGCCAGUGAAGCAGGCCUGCUCCUUGGUGGGUGGGUUGACGGUAGCUGGAUAAGAAGCGCCGGCUAACUACGUGCCAGCAGCCGCGGUAAUACGUAGGGCGCGAGCGUUGUCCGGAAUUAUUGGGCGUAAAGAGCUCGUAGGCGGCUGGUCGCGUCUGUCGUGAAAUCCUCUGGCUUAACUGGGGGCUUGCGGUGGGUACGGGCCGGCUUGAGUGCGGUAGGGGAGGCUGGAACUCCUGGUGUAGCGGUGGAAUGCGCAGAUAUCAGGAAGAACACCGGUGGCGAAGGCGGGUCUCUGGGCCGUUACUGACGCUGAGGAGCGAAAGCGUGGGGAGCGAACAGGAUUAGAUACCCUGGUAGUCCACGCCGUAAACGUUGGGCACUAGGUGUGGGGGGCCUUUUCCGGGUUUUCCGCGCCGUAGCUAACGCAUUAAGUGCCCCGCCUGGGGAAUACGGCCGCAAGGCUAAAACUCAAAGGAAUUGACGGGGGCCCGCACAAGCGGCGGAGCAUGCGGAUUAAUUCGAUGCAACGCGAAGAACCUUACCAAGGCUUGACAUGUGCCGGUCGGCUACCGGAGACGGGGUUUCCUCCUUGUGGGGCCGGUUCACAGGUGGUGCAUGGUUGUCGUCAGCUCGUGUCGUGAGAUGUUGGGUUAAGUCCCGCAACGAGCGCAACCCUUGUCUCGUGUUGCCAGCACGUUGUGGUGGGGACUCGCGGGAGACUGCCGGGGUCAACUCGGAGGAAGGUGGGGAUGACGUCAAAUCAUCAUGCCCCUUAUGUCUUGGGCUUCACGCAUGCUACAAUGGCCGGUACAGAGGGCUGCGAUACUGUGAGGUGGAGCGAAUCCCUUAAAGCCGGUCUCAGUUCGGAUCGGUGUCUGCAACUCGACACCGUGAAGUUGGAGUCGCUAGUAAUCGCAGAUCAGCAACGCUGCGGUGAAUACGUUCUCGGGCCUUGUACACACCGCCCGUCACGUCAUGAAAGUCGGCACUCCCAAGCCCGUGGCCUAUGG